CUCUGUACUUUCUGUUCAAAUUUUCUGUAAACCCAAAACCACUAUAAAAGUAAAGUUGGCUGGGCGCGGUGGCUCAAGCCUGUAAUCCCAGCACGUUGGGAGGCCGAGGCGGGGGGGAUCACAAGAUCAGAGAUCGAGACCAUCCUGGUCAACAUGGUGAAACCCCGUCUCUACUGAAAAUACAAAAAAUUAGCUGGGUAUGGUGGCGGGUGCCUGUAGUCCCAGCUACUCAGGAGGCUGAGGCAGGAGAAUUGCCUGAACCCAGGAGGCGGAGGUUGCGGUGAGCCGAGAUCGCGCCAUUGCACUCCAGCCUGGUAACAAGACCGAAACUCCAUCUCAAAAAAAAAAAUAAAUAAAUAAAUAAAGUCUAUUACUUUUUUAAAAAAUGUAUCUCUUCUUAAUUCUUUCUCCCUCUCAACCUGAAGUUCUCUCUUUAACAUUACAGACACCUGAAAUGAAAUCUGGAAGGAUAACACCUUACUCCUGAAUCCUGGGAGCCCAAAGUUGGACUGGAAUCUCAGGAAUACUAGAAGCCAGGAAAAUUUGGAACUAUUGACAUCCAAGGUGCAGCCAUCACUGAGGGCUUGUUUUGCAAGGUGCCAUGGAUGGUGAUGAGUAAAACCAGGCUCCUUUCUAUUAUGCUGUGCUGGAAGCUGCCUCGGCAAGUGGAGGGAGUGUGGCCUUUUGGAUCAGAUGAAUCUGGUGGAAUCCUGGCUCUGUGGGUGUGAAGAAUCUGGAGUUUAGGAAAGGAGCCAGAACUGAAGAUAGCUGUGGAAUGAUCAGUUCAUAAAUGGAAUUGAAAGCUGUGGAACAGGAUGAAAGUACUGAGGAGG
rnacentral:lncRNA from 13 species